AUGGGUCGCGUCUGUCGGUGGCUGAGGAAAGGCGGUUCGAGCCUGACGUGGUCGUCGAUGAGGAGCUUCUGGAUGUCACCGGCGCCGGCAAUCCUCGAGGGCAAAGGCUGUGACAAGCGGCGGCGGCGGUGCUUGGGCAGCAACAAUCUGAGCAUGAUGAGCCACCGCGUCGAAGGCGUCGUGGUGGUGCAUUGGAGCUGGAGGAGGCGGCGGGCCAGUGUUGUUUGUGCUCAAGACGUACGAGAUGGUGGACAACCCAUCGACGGAAGCAGCGGUCUGGUGGAGUGA
rnacentral:rRNA from 1 species